GACGAACGCUGGCGGCGUGCCUAAUACAUGCAAGUAGAACGCUGAAGAGAGGAGCUUGCUCUUCUUGGAUGAGUUGCGAAAGGGUGAGUAACGCGUAGGUAACCUGCCUUGUAGCGGGGGAUAACUAUUGGAAACGAUAGCUAAUACCGCAUAACAAUGGAUGACACAUGUCAUUUAUUUGAAAGGGGCAAUUGCUCCACUACAAGAUGGACCUGCGUUGUAUUAGCUAGUAGGUGAGGUAAUGGCUCACCUAGGAGACGAUACAUAGCCGACCUGAGAGGGUAAGCGGCCACACUGGGAUUGGGACACGGCCCAGACUCCUACGGGAGACAGCAGUACGGAAUCUUCGGCAAUGGGGGCAAUCGUGACCGAGCAACGCCGCGUGAGUGAAGGAGGUUUUCGGAUCGUAAAGCUCUGUUAUAAUUCAAGAUCGGGUGUGAGAGUUGAAAGUUCACACUGUGACGGUAGCGUACCAGAAAGAGACGGCUAACUACGUG
rnacentral:rRNA from 1 species